rnacentral:lncRNA from 1 species
UGCACGUGUGCAAGUUGUAGUUUUACGAAGAAAUUUCUACUAAAAUGUUAUGUAUGCUUAUAACACAUGUUGAGGUUCGGCAAGUCUCCUCUUGUAUGAAAACUUAACCACUCAAAACAAUACCAAAAUUUCAUUCUAUCCUCUCAUGGGUUUUAGAUCUGUGGUUUUCUUACUCAUCUUCCUCCUAUACUUUGUAAGUGGGGAACGCAAGGUACAAUUAGGCCAAUCUCUUCUCCCCACAACUCCCCCCACAUUAUGGUCCUCUUCUUCUGGCCUAUUUGCAUUUGGUUUCUACCAACAAGACAAUGGCUGGAGGUUGGGAUUGGCUGAUCCCCAGCAAAAGGUUGUAUGGACUGCAAACAGAGAU